CUUCGGAGGUACUCGAGUGGCGAACGGGUGAGUAACACGUGGGUAAUCUGCCCUGCACUUCGGGAUAAGCCUGGGAAACUGGGUCUAAUACCGAAUAUGACCACGAGGCGCAUGCCUUGUGGUGGAAAGCCUUUGCGGUGUGGGAUGGGCCCGCGGCCUAUCAGCUUGUUGGUGGGGUGACGGCCUACCAAGGCGACGACGGGUAGCCGGCCUGAGAGGGUGUCCGGCCACACUGGGACUGAGAUACGGCCCAGACUCCUACGGGAGGCAGCAGUGGGGAAUAUUGCACAAUGGGCGCAAGCCUGAUGCAGCGACGCCGCGUGGGGGAUGACGGCCUUCGGGUUGUAAACCUCUUUCAGCAGGGACGAAGCGCAAGUGACGGUACCUGCAGAAGAAGCACCGGCCAACUACGUGCCAGCAGCCGCGGUAAUACGUAGGGUGCGAGCGUUGUCCGGAAUUACUGGGCGUAAAGAGCUCGUAGGUGGUUUGUCGCGUUGUUCGUGAAAACCGGGGGCUUAACCCUCGGCGUGCGGGCGAUACGGGCAGACUGGAGUACUGCAGGGGAGACUGGAAUUCCUGGUGUAGCGGUGGAAUGCGCAGAUAUCAGGAGGAACACCGGUGGCGAAGGCGGGUCUCUGGGCAGUAACUGACGCUGAGGAGCGAAAGCGUGGGGAGCGAACAGGAUUAGAUACCCUGGUAGUCCACGCCGUAAACGGUGGGUACUAGGUGUGGGUUUCCUUCCUUGGAAUCCGUGCCGUAGCUAACGCAUUAAGUACCCCGCCUGGGGAGUACGGCCGCAAGGCUAAAACUCAAAGGAAUUGACGGGGGCCCGCACAAGCGGCGGAGCAUGUGGAUUAAUUCGAUGCAA
rnacentral:rRNA from 1 species